UACGUAGGUGGCAAGCGUUGUCCAGAUUUACUGGGCGUAAAGAGCGCGCAGGCGGUCAAGUAAGUCGAAUGUGAAAGCCCCCGGCUCAACUGGGGAGGGUCAUUCGAUACUGCUCGACUCGAAGGCAGGAGAGGGAAGUGGAAUUCCCGGUGUAGUGGUGAAAUGCGUAGAUAUCGGGAGGAACACCAGUGGCGAAGGCGACUUUCUGGCCUGUUCUUGACGCUGAGGCGCGAAAGCUAGGGGAGCAAACGGG
rnacentral:rRNA from 1 species